CCCCAGAAAAAAGCGAAAUUUCAAAUUCGUACGCUCUAUAAAAUGCAGUGUAUAUAAUUAGGGCUCUGAUUAUCUGCACCACACCCACCUGCUCUUUUCACUCGUUAGUACCUUUGCGCUUUGUUCCGCUCCACACUCAAAUUAAAAUUACAAAAAUCAUUUUCUGCGAAAAGACAAUCAAGAGAUUCCGGUAAGUAGUUGGGUAUCUUUUGUUCCCUCCUCAAUUCGUGCAAAUUGAGGCCUGAUUUUCGUAUCCUUUUCGGAGGUCGAAUUUGGUUUCAUUUAUAUAUGAUUUGAUCACCCGAAUCUUAAUAGGUUUAUGGCUUAAAAUCUGGGGUAUUUUCGUUCUUGUUUCGGGUGCCCGUUUGCCCGGGAAACCUUUUCGGAUUUGGUUGUAUACUUCGUUGUGGGAUAGUCGUCGGACAAUAUUUGAGUGGUCCGGAUUUCUGUGUUCGAGCAUGGAAAAUGGGGUGAUAGAAUUUGAUAUUGGUUUAGGCGGGGGAGAUGAUGCUAUUGAUAUUGAACCCCCUAAUGAUGACGGUGAAAUGCCUGAUGGUUCUCCUAAUGAUGCUAAUUCCCUUGGUAGUGGCAGUGGCGACACUGCUUUUGCGCAGAGUUACAUUCCCGAGGGAGACCUUGAUCUUGAGCCUUACGAGGGAAUGGAAUUUGAGUCCGAGGAGGCUGCCAAGGCAUUCUAUAACUCAUAUGCAAGGCGAGUUGGGUUUAGUACUCGUGUGAGCUCGUCCCGCCGCUCUAGGAAGGAUGGGGCCAUCAUACAGAGGUCUUUCGUAUGUGCGAAGGAGGGGUUCCGCAAUUUGAAUGAGAAACGCACCAAGGAUAGGGAAAUCAAACGACCGCGGACUGUGACGCGGGUGGGGUGUAAGGCCUCGUUGUCCGUCAAGAUACAGGAUUCUGGAAAAUGGGUUGUCUCUGGUUUCGUUAAGGAGCAUAAUCACGAGUUGGUUCCCCCUGACCAGGUGCAUUGCCUCCGAUCCCAUCGCCAAAUCUCUGGGCCUGCAAAGACCUUGAUUGAUACUUUGCAGGCUGCUGGAAUGGGCCCACGAAGGAUCAUGUCCGUACUCAUAAAGGAGUAUGGUGGUAUUAGCAAAGUUGGCUUCACAGAGGUGGAUUGCAGAAAUUACAUGCGAAACAAUAGGCAGAGGAGCAUGGAGGGAGAUAUUCAGCUGCUUUUAGAUUAUUUGAAGCAGAAGCAAGCUGAGAAUCCUUCAUUCUUCUAUGCAGUUCAGGGGGACGAGGAUCAGUAUACGGGUAAUGUUUUCUGGGCUGAUCCCAAGGCCAGAACUGAUUACAGUUAUUUUGGAGAUACUGUUACAUUCGACACCACGUACAGGUCAAACAGGUACAGGUUGCCGUUUGUGCCCUUCACAGGGCUGAACCAUCAUGGACAACCUGUACUUUUUGGCUGUGCUUUCCUAAUUAAUGAAUCAGAAGCAUCAUUUGUAUGGUUAUUCAAAACUUGGCUGGCAGCUAUGUCUGGCCGCUCUCCAGUAUCAAUCACGACCGAACAUGAUACUGUCAUUCGCUCUGCUAUCAUGCAGGUUUUCCCAAAUACUCGCCAUCGUUUCUGCAAAUGGCAUAUAUUCAAACAAUGCCAGGAGAAAUUAUCCCAUGUGUUGCUAAAGCAUCCUCACUUUGAAGCUGCCUUACACAAGUGUGUGAACUUGUCAGAGAGCACCGAGGAAUUUGAGUCCUGCUGGCAUUCCCUUGCUGAAAAAUAUGAUCUCAGGGAUCAUAAGUGGCUCCAAGCCAUUUAUGUGGAUCGCAGACAAUGGGUCCCUGUAUAUCUUCAUGACACUUUUUUUGCUGAAAUGUCGAUUACUCAGCGAAGUGACAGUAUGAAUUCGUACUUCGAUGGAUAUGUGAAUGCAUCUACCAAUCUAAAUCAGUUCUUUAAGCUGUAUGAAAAAGCAUUAGAGAGUCGCCAUGAGAAAGAAGUUAAAGCAGAUUUUGAUACAAUGAAUACAUCAGCAGUUCUAAAGACUCCUUCUCCAAUGGAGAAACAGGCAUCUGAUUUCUACACAAGAAAGAUAUUUAUGAGAUUUCAGGAGGAGUUGGUUAGUACUCUCACUUUUAUGGCAUCCAAAGUGGAGGAUGACGGAGAAGUCACCACCUACCGAGUGGCAAAAUUUGGGGAAGACCACAAAGCUUACCAUGUGAGGUUCAAUGUUCUUGAAAUGAGAGCUACUUGUAGCUGCCAGAUGUUUGAGUUUUCGGGUCUUCUUUGCAGACAUGUAUUGGCAGUUUUUAGGGUCACCAAUGUUCUCACGCUUCCAUCUCAUUACAUCUUGAAGCGAUGGACGAGAAACGCUAAGAGUAGUGUUGUACUGGAAGAACGAGUUACUGAUCCAUUCAACAGUUAUUUGGAAUCUCAUACUGUUCGUUAUAAUACCCUUCGGCAUGAGGCCUUCAAAUUUGUAGAUGAAGGAGCAGAAUCUGUCGAGUCUUAUACUAUCGCUAUGUCUGCUUUGACUGAGGCUUCAAAGAAAGUUGCUGUUGCAAUAAAGAAUGAGGGAAAGCCUUCUAUAAGUAAUGGUCCUAUGAGGGAUGUCUCAGCAAGGGGUAGAAUUUGGCCAAACCACUGUGCAGGCGAAGGUCAAGGGAGCUCAGCGCAGCAACUAUCUGAGGAUGACAUGGAUCAGAAAAUUAAUGAACUCUCCACGGAUCUGGAGCGUGCCAAUCGCAAGUGUGAAGUGUAUCGCACAAACCUCCUUUCCCUUUUGAAGGAUAUAGAGGACCAUAAACAACGUUUAUCCAUUGAAGUCCAAAACAUAAAGCUGAGCAUGAAGGAUGGUCUGUAAAGGCAGCGGUUUUAGAUUAAUGCUGCAUUUUUGUGGUUCAAUAGACAGAUCUGACGGCUAAAAGCAAGUCCUAUUUCUCCAGCUCUGUGAAACUCGGUAAGAACUGGAGAAGCAAAAAUGCAGCUCCGGCCACAAUUUUUAGUUUGUAAAUUUUGCUUUCUGAAAUAGUACAGCAAAUGGAGUUUGAAGCGUAGUUGGAUACAAUAGAGUAGAAGCAAAUGCACAUAUUGACCAAUUAUGAAUUUUAUCACGCAGCGAAUUCAAGUGUCUGAACCCUGCACUUUCCAACUUGUGUAUUGGGCUCCGGUUUCAAAUAGUUCUGCUCGUAUGCUCUCUUUUUGUUGCUUCAAUUUUGCUAAACUCCACUGUUAUGGUUGUGGUUGUAGUUACAUGAUAUCUUCAAUUAAUCAAAGAAUAAAUAGAUAUCUCCAAUUUACUCUAGAAACAAAAGAAUUCUUUUAACUUUUUUCUGAUAUCAAUAACAAGAUGAGGAUUGGGAUACGUCGCAUCACCCUUUCAUUGAUUCUCCCUAGUAAAAAUACAUAUCCAUUGACAAACAAAUGAAUUAGUUACAAAGGGUGCGGUUUUUUUGUAUAUCGUUUGUAUUACAGAAACCAAUUGAGUACAACCUGACUAUUAAGAGGAAAAAGAGAAACGAAGACUAACCAAAAACAAGAAUAGACCCCUCGCCUGAAAAAGAGGAAACCUCACCAGAGCACAAUCUAGUUGUGCAAAAGAAUAUCAAAACUUCACAACCUCCAACGAAUUCUGACUCUAAUGCUAAGCCGAUUGCAUUACAAUUUUGCCCUUCACUGCCGCCAGCCCCCGCGUUGUAUCUUUCAGUGCCA